AAUUGAAAAGCUAAAAAUAAGUUUAGGGGUUAAUUAGAAUUUCUACAGGACAAAAUUGUUGUAAUUAAAAAAGUUGAGGGACUAAAUGGUAAGGAAGAAAAGUUUGGGGACCAAUUGUCCAUAUGAAAAGGAAAAAGAAAAGAAAAGAAAAGAAAGGAAAAGAUCGGGGGAGAGAGAAGGCGCAGUGGAGAAGGAAAAUUUGGGGCUGCGGUCGUCGAUGGCCGACCGUCGGGGUGCGGCACGCUGGCCGACGAAGCAGCUAGCGUCGGCAAGUGCAGCGGCAGCGGCACCAACGGGCAGCGACAGCAGCACGCGCGAGGAGGAAGGCAGCGACUUCCGGAUGCCAUUCAGGGAGUUUUUGGCUGCGUUGGCGGCCGAGUCGGGUGGCAAUCGACUCCCCUCGGUGUGAGCUUUCUUUUGGCUACAGCGGCGACGCGAAUGGUGGCCGGAAAUGAAAGUUCGUGGUGGAGAGAGAAAGUGGGUGGCAGCCACGUUUUUCGGCUUUUCCGGUGAGCUUCGGCGAGGGAUGGAUGAUCAGAGGACAUAUCCGGACUCUCCUCAGCUCAAGCUUCGCAAUGGCACCGUUUUCGUGGCGAUCGGACUCCGUUUGCAAAUCGACGAUCGAGAUUGUUCGUAAAUCUCUCCGGAUGAUCAGGGGCCGGAUCGGAAGAUCGGAAGCAGGGAUUGUCAUCAAUGCGUCGUUUCGAGUCUGUUGGUGUGUUCAGAUCGUUGAUCGGACUCCGAUAGCUGGAGGCGAGUCGACCGAGCGAUCAAGCGUCUCGAUCUGUGAUUAUUAGUCUUCCCGCGGCUCUUAUCUAGCAACCCGAUCCUUCAUCAUCGGGUGAUGUAAUUGAUUUGAUAUGUUAACUUGUAAAAAAAUCUUAAAUUUUCCGCAGUAGAAUUAAUAGAAUUAUCUGUUGUAAUUCUAUAUAGUUUCAGGUCUCGCCUAUUUCUUCUGGCAGACCGAAUAAAAUAUGUAAAAUUUAACGGUUAAGAUAAAUUGUGGCAUCAAUAAUUUUAUAUGAGAUUUAUUUUAA